rnacentral:rRNA from 1 species
GCUUACGGCCAUACCAACUUAGGCACGCCCGAUCUCGUCUGAUCUCGGAAGCUAAGCAGGGUCGGGCCUGUUUAGUACUUGGAUGGGUGACCGCCUGGGAAUACCAGGUGCUGUAUACA